rnacentral:rRNA from 1 species
GCGUGCGUUUCGUACSCGGUUGUCGAUUUGAUAUUACUGCCGUCGUCUCGUAAUGAGCGCGGACGUCGCGACCCGUUCGGCGUUGGCUUUAAGACUCUGCGCGUUUAUUUAACGUUCGCCGUGCCGGGUGCGCUUUCGAGGUUCUCUCCUCGGGAGAGGCGCUCGGUUACGGCGAGGGCGUGAGUUUCUGGCCAACUUUGUCGGACGGUAGGUAAACGGUGGCUAUCGGCACCGUGCGCGUGUAAGCGCGCACGAUGCUCGACGCCAGUCAGCGACGAAUCUUCGGGCCUCUUUCCGACCCGUCUUGAAACACGGACCAAGGAGUCUAACGUGCGCGCGAGUCGUUGGGUGUCGAGUGCGGUGUCAAAAGCCGCGCUCGUUAUAAUACGAAACCCGUUGUUUUAAAAAACGAAGGCGUAAUGAAAGUGAAUCCCGAACGCGCGCGCACGGGGAUUAAUCGUUCCCGUGUGCGUGUGUGGGGGAAGAUGGCGUUCCGAGUACACGUUUCUCGGUCGCAUGGUACCGAGGCCGGACGUCCGCAUUCCCGGGGCGUUCCAAUAGUACGCCGUCGAUGUCUGUGCCGCGUGUAACAACGCGCGGUGUCGGUCGACGACGAACUGGGGCGCACCUAUAGCGUGCACGUUGGUACCCGAAAGAUGGUGAACUAUGCCCGGCCAGGAUGAAGUCAGGGGA